rnacentral:rRNA from 1 species
AGUGAACGCUGGCGGUAGGCCUAACACGUGCAAGUCGAACGGCAGCACAGUAAGAGCUUGCUCUUACGGGUGGCGAGUGGCGGACGGGUGAGGAAUACAUCAGAAUCUACUUUUUCGUGGGGGAUAACGUAGGGAAACUUACGCUAAUACCGCAUACGACCUACGGGUGAAAGCAGGGGAUCUUCGGACCUUGCGCGAUUGAAUGAGCCGAUGUCGGAUUAGCUAGUUGGCGGGGUAAAGGCCCACCAAGGCGACGAUCCGUAGCUGGUCUGAGAGGAUGAUCAGCCACACUGGAACUGAGACACGGUCCAGACUCCUACGGGAGGCAGCAGUGGGGAAUAUUGGACAAUGGGCGCAAGCCUGAUCCAGCCAUACCGCGUGGGUGAAGAAGGCCUUCGGGUUGUAAAGCCCUUUUGUUGGGAAAGAAAAGCAGCAGGUUAAUACCCCGCUGUUCUGACGGUACCCAAAGAAUAAGCACCGGCUAACUUCGUG